GUGUCAGCCGCCGCGGUAAUACCGGUGGCUCGAGUGGUGGCCGCUAUUACUGGGCUUAAAGGGUCCGUAGCUUGAUAACUGGGUCCCUUGAGAAAUCCGCUGGCUUAACUUGCGGGCGUUCAGGGGAAACUUGUUUUCUUGGGACCAGGAGAGGUGAGGGGCCCUGCCGGGGUAGGAGUGAAAUCCUGUAAUCCCGGUGGGACCACCUAUGGCGAAGGCAUCUCACCAGAACGGGUCCGACAGUGAGGGACGAAAGCUGGGGGAGCAAACCGGAUUAGAUACCCGGGUAGUCCCAGCUGUAAACGAUGUGCGUUAGGUGUGUCAGUGACCACGUGUCACUGAGGUGCCGAAGGGAAACCGUGAAACGCACCGCCUGGGGAGUACGGUCGCAAGGCUGAAACUUAAAAGAAUUGGCGG
rnacentral:rRNA from 1 species